rnacentral:rRNA from 1 species
AUUGAACGCUGGCGGCAUGCCUUACACAUGCAAGUCGAACGGUAACAGGUCUUCGGAUGCUGACGAGUGGCGAACGGGUGAGUAAUACAUCGGAACGUGCCCGAUCGUGGGGGAUAACGAAGCGAAAGCUUUGCUAAUACCGCAUACGAUCUACGGAUGAAAGCAGGGGACCGCAAGGCCUUGCGCGAACGGAGCGGCCGAUGGCAGAUUAGGUAGUUGGUGGGAUAAAAGCUUACCAAGCCGACGAUCUGUAGCUGGUCUGAGAGGACGACCAGCCACACUGGGACUGAGACACGGCCCAGACUCCUACGGGAGGCAGCAGUGGGGAAUUUUGGACAAUGGGCGAAAGCCUGAUCCAGCCAUGCCGCGUGCAGGAUGAAGGCCUUCGGGUUGUAAACUGCUUUUGUACGGAACGAAAAGACUCUGGUUAAUACCUGGGGUCCAUGACGGUACCGUAAGAAUAAGCACCGGCUAACUACGUGCCAGCCGCCGCUGUAAGAC